AGCUCCAAUAGCGUAUAUUAAUUUUGCUGCAGUUAAAAAGCUCGUAGUUGGAUCUUGGGUCCAGGCUUGUGGUUCCGCCCGUCCUGCGGUUACUGCUCGUCCUGACCUACCAGCCGGCCGAUCCAUGGUGCCCUUUACUGGGUGUCUUGGGCGGGCCGGAACGUUUACUUUGAAAAAAUUAGAGUGCUCAAAGCAGGCUGGUGCCUGAAUACUGUUGCAUGGAAUAAUAAAAUAGGACUUUGUUUCUAUUUUAUUGGUUUUCGGAAAUGAAGUAAUGAUUAACAGGGACAGACGGGGGCAUUUGUAUGCCGGCGUUAGAGGUGAAAUUCUUAGACCGCCGGCAGACAAACAACUGCGAAAGCAUUUGCCAAGAAUGUCUUCAUUAAUCAAGAACGAAAGU
rnacentral:rRNA from 1 species